rnacentral:rRNA from 1 species
UACGGAGGGGCUAGCGUUGUCCGGAGUACUGGGCGUAAAGCGCACGCAGGCGGUCAGAUCAGUCUGGAGUGACAGUCGUCGGCUUAACCGACGAAGUGUUCUGGAAACUGUCUGACUUGAGGGCUCAGAGGGACACGGAAUUCCGGGUGGAGUGGUGAAAUGCGUAGAUAUCCGGAGGAACACCAAGGCGAAGGCAGUGUCCUG